rnacentral:rRNA from 1 species
ACGGAAGGUAGCAGUGGGGAAUAUUGCACAAUGGGGGAAACCCUGAUGCAGCAACGCCGCGUGAGUGAUGAAGUAUUUCGGUAUGUAAAGCUCUAUCAGCAGGGAAGAAAAUGACGGUACCUGACUAAGAAGCCCCGGCUAACUACGUGCCAGCAGCCGCGGUAAUACGUAGGGGGCAAGCGUUAUCCGGAUUUACUGGGUGUAAAGGGUGCGUAGACGGCUGUGCAAGUCAGAAGUGAAAUCCCGGGGCGUAACCCCGGUGCUGCUUUUGAAACUGUACGGCUAGAGUGCUGGAGGGGCAAGCGGAAUUCCUGGUGUAGCGGUGAAAUGCGUAGAUAUCAGGAGGAACACCGGUGGCGAAGGCGGCUUGCUGGACAGUAACUGACGUUGAGGCACGAAAGCGUGGGGAGCAAACAGGAUUAGAUACCCUGGUA